AUGACAAAGCCAAAGUUCAUGGGAGGAAUGGGGUUUCGGGAUAUCGAAUUGUUUAAUUUAGCCUUGCUAGCUAGACAAGCCUGGAGGAUCCUGCAAGAGCCGAACUCUCUAAGUGCCCGUGUACUGAAAUCAAGGUAGUUCCCGAAUGGAGAUUUUUUGGAGGCGCCACUUGGAUCAAAUCCAUCUCAGGUCUGGCGCUCAAUUGUUGAAGGG
rnacentral:rRNA from 1 species